rnacentral:lncRNA from 1 species
GCGCGUAUUUAAUGUACAAAGAACGACUCCAGUCAUCGGUACUGCAAAAUGUAGCUCUUGCAUUGCCGGUACAUUAGGAGCUAGAGUUGCAACCUACAAAUCAUAUUUCAAAACAAGUCAACAUCAAGAUUCAAAACUAUGUAACAUUGUAAACUUUUGAUACAAAUACAAAUUACUGAUCAUAGACGAGUUGACUUGGAUCUUACCCCACCACCACCCCCGAGAGAUCAUGAGCAAUGGCCGAGCUAGAGUAUUGGUUACAGAUUCAGCCGAACCUAAUAACUUUGGUCGAAACACUCUAUUAUUGUCUUAAAAAUCCACGAAUAUGUAUGAAUUAUUAAUUUAAAACUCAAUAACUUAAAAAGAUUAGAAUCCAGAACUCAUAAGCUUCAAACUCUGACUCCACCUCCACUGAACAAUCUUAAACUCUGCAUCCAAUCAAACUAAACACUACAAACUGAAACAAAAGGAAUACUUUCUUUCUUAAUUUUCGUACCAAAUCAAAUAUACAGCCACAUUAACCAGUAAACUUCUCAAAUGACACAAAAGUGUAAAUUUCCAGAACACCUGGUCAACUUAAAUUGACAACAAGCUUAAACUAUAUGUAAUAUAAUGAAAUUGAAUUUCUGGAAAAUGU